rnacentral:lncRNA from 10 species
AGUAGGUGAGCUUCUCCAUCCCUGUCUGUCUAGAUGCAGAGAACCCAAAGCCCUGCAGGAUGGCAAAGCUGCAACAUGGAAGUCACCCGGAUCACCACGUAAAGGAAAUCUCUCCAACCAGGAACAAACACCUGCCUUGCAAUAUUAGAGACAAGGUCUCACUAUGUUGCCCUGGCUGGUCUGUAACUCCUGGCCUCAAGCAGUCCUCUUAUCUCAGCUUUCCAAAGUGCUGGGAUUACAGGAGAACUGCUGGAACCCAGGAGGCAGAGGUUGCAGUGAGCCGAAUCCGUGUCAUUGCACUCCAGCCCAGGCCAACAACAGCAAGAAUUCGUAUUAAAAAAAAGGCUGGUGAGAGGGGCGUGGAGGUUGAGGGGUGUGGUAAACUGUAGGAGAUAACGAUUUUAUGUUGUGUGUGUGCUAUGGUUUGGAUGUGGUUUGUCUCCUCCAAAAUGCAUGUAGAAACUUGGUCCCCAAUGUAAUGGUAUUGGGAGGUGGGGCCUUUAAGAGGGGAUUAGGUCAUUAGGAGGGAUUAAUGCCUUUCUCACAGGAGUGGGUUAAUUCUCACAGAAGUGGGUGAGUUAUUGAGAGCAGUUCAUUACAAAAGUGAGUUUGGCUUCCUCGGCUUUCUCUUGCUUCCUCGGCUUUCUCUUGCUUCCUCUCACCCUACGAUGCAUUCUGCUGUGUUACAACACAGCACGAGGCCCUCACCAGAAGCUGACCAGAUCCAGCCACCCUGUCUUGGACUUCCCAGCCUCCAGAACUGUAAAAAACAAACCCCUUUUCUUUGUCAAUUACCCAGUCCCAUGGGUUCUAUGACAGCAACAGAAAGUGGACAAAUUGUGUAACAUGCACAUGUCCAGGAGGGUGUGUGAGAGGUAAUCCUGUUGUUACGGUUGUUCUGUAGGGUGACCACAAUUGGGAAUUUCCCUGGGACUGUUUUGGUUUUAGCACUGAAAACUCUGUAUUUCAAUAAACUAC